UGGGCAACCUGCCCCUGGCUCUGGGAUAAACCCCCGGGGAAAACCGGAGCUAAUACCGGAUAUGACUCGAACAGGCAUCUGUUUCGGGUGGAAAGAUUUAUUGGUGGAGGAUGGACUCGCGGCCUAUCAGCUUGUUGGUGAGGUAAUGGCUCACCAAGGCGACGACGGGUAGCCGGCCUGAGAGGGUGAUCGGCCACAUUGGAACUGAGACACGGUCCAGACUCCGUACGGGAGCA
rnacentral:rRNA from 1 species